rnacentral:rRNA from 2 species
CAUUAAGCACUCCGCCUGGGGGAGUACGGUCGCAAGACUGAAACUCAAAGGAAUUGACGGGGGCCGCACAAGCGGUGGAGCAUGUGGUUUAAUUUGAAGCAACGCGAAGAACCUUACCAGGUCUUGACAUCCUCUGACAACUCUAGAGAUAGAGCGUUCCCCUUCGGGGGACAGAGUGACAGGUGGUGCAUGGUUGUCGUCAGCUCGUGUCGUGAGAUGUUGGGUUAAGUCCCGCAACGAGCGCAACCCUUGAUCUUAGUUGCCAGCAUUUAGUUGGGCACUCUAAGGUGACUGCCGGUGACAAACCGGAGGAAGGUGGGGAUGACGUCAAAUCAUCAUGCCCCUUAUGACCUGGGCUACACACGUGCUACAAUGGAUGGUACAAAGGGCUGCAAGACCGCGAGGUCAAGCCAAUCCCAUAAAACCAUUCUCAGUUCGGAUUGUAGGCUGCAACUCGCCUACAUGAAGCUGGAAUCGCUAGUAAUCGCGGAUCAGCAUGCCGCGGUGAAUACGUUCCCGGGCCUUGUACACACCGCCCGUCACACCACGAGAGUUUGUAACACCCGAAGUC